rnacentral:rRNA from 1 species
AGAGUUUGAUCCUGGCUCAGGAUGAACGCUGGCGGCGUGCUUAACACAUGCAAGUCGAACGAUGAUCCGGUGCUUGCACCGGGGAUUAGUGGCGAACGGGUGAGUAACACGUGAGUAACCUGCCCUUGACUCUGGGAUAAGCCUGGGAAACUGGGUCUAAUACCGGAUAUGACCUUCCAUCGCAUGGUGGUUGGUGGAAAGCUUUUGUGGUUUUGGAUGGACUCGCGGCCUAUCAGCUUGUUGGUGAGGUAAUGGCUCACCAAGGCGACGACGGGUAGCCGGCCUGAGAGGGUGACCGGCCACACUGGGACUGAGACACGGCCCAGACUCCUACGGGAGGCAGCAGUGGGGAAUAUUGCACAAUGGGCGCAAGCCUGAUGCAGCGACGCCGCGUGAGGGAUGACGGCCUUCGGGUUGUAAACCUCUUUCAGUAGGGAAGAAGCGAAAGUGACGGUACCUGCAGAAGAAGCGCCGGCUAACUACGUGCCAGCAGCCGCGGUAAUACGUAGGGCGCAAGCGUUAUCCGGAAUUAUUGGGCGUAAAGAGCUCGUAGGCGGUUUGUCGCGUCUGCCGUGAAAGUCCGGGGCUCAACUCCGGAUCUGCGGUGGGUACGGGCAGACUAGAGUGAUGUAGGGGAGACUGGAAUUCCUGGUGUAGCGGUGAAAUGCGCAGAUAUCAGGAGGAACACCGAUGGCGAAGGCAGGUCUCUGGGCAUUAACUGACGCUGAGGAGCGAAAGCAUGGGGAGCGAACAGGAUUAGAUACCCUGGUAGUCC